CCUACGGGUGGCUGCAGUCGAGAAUCAUUCACAAUGGGGGAAACCCUGAUGGUGCGACGCCGCGUGGGGGAAUGAAGGUCUUCGGAUUGUAAACCCCUGUCAUGUGGGAGCAAAUUAAAAAGAUAGUACCACAAGAGGAAGAGACGGCUAACUCUGUGCCAGCAGCCGCGGUAAUACAGAGGUCUCAAGCGGUGUUCGGAAUCACUGGGCGUAAAGCGUGCGUAGGCUGUUUCGUAAGUCGUGUGUGAAAGGCGCGGGCUCAACCCGCGGACGGCACAUGAUACUGCGAGACUAGAGUAAGGGAGGAGGAACCGGAAUUCUCGGUGUAGCAGUGAAAUGCGUAGAUAUCGAGAGGAACACUCGUGGCGAAGGCGGGUUCCUGGACAUUAACUGACGCUGAGGCACGAAGGCCAGGGGAGCGAAAGGGAUUAGAUACCCUAGUAGUC
rnacentral:rRNA from 1 species